rnacentral:rRNA from 1 species
AUGCACGCUGACAGAAUGCUUCACCCCUGCCAGUCACCUUGAACUUCGGUUUGGGUGGCGGACGGGUGAGUAACGCGUAAAGAACUUGCCUCACAGAUAGGGACAACAUCUGGAAACGAAUGCUAAUACCUGAUAUUAUGAUUUUAGGGCAUCCUAGGAUUAUGAAAGCUAUAUGCGCUGUGAGAGAGCUUUGCGUCCCAUUAGCUAGUUGGAGAGGUAACGGCUCACCAAGGCGAUGAUGGGUAGCCGGCCUGAGAGGGUGAUCGGCCACAAGGGGACUGAGACACGGCCCUUACUCCUACGGGAGGCAGCAGUGGGGAAUAUUGGACAAUGGACCAAGAGUCUGAUCCAGCAAUUCUGUGUGCACGAUGAAGUUUUUCGGAAUGUAAAGUGCUUUCAGUUGGGAAGAAAAAAAUGACGGUACCAACAGAAGAAGUGACGGCUAAAUACGUG